UGUGGCUUACAUUUAAAGAAUCCCAUCUAUUUCAUUUCAUAUCAAAUCGUUACAGGAAUGAGAGGAAUAACCUGUAAUAACAAGCAGCCCUGUAAGGUCCCCCCCGAGGCACUUGGAUCCCCCUUUCUGUGAGAACCCCUCCCUGGACGGGACGGUGAAAGGGACUGCUGGCACUGGGAUGCGACUGGUGAAUGCGGAGGGUAAGAAAGAGUACAACAGGUAACAAGGACCCACUGCGGAGAGACAGAUGGCUGAGCUGCACAUUGAGCGGCAAUGUGUGCGUGCAUAUUGAUUCGUGUAACGAGGGAUCGAGGAAACACAAAGAGGACUGUUUCACACAGCAGACACUGACAUUUGUUCUGGUGAGUGUUCAGGGGGGGUUUGUCCCCCCCCCCUGCCCUCUAAUGAGCAAUGUGCUUGAAGGGAAAAAUAUUCAGCUCCACGGCUCAAGGAUUGUCACCAUGAGGAGCAAACGCUACAGCUCAGAGUCAAACCACAUCCAGCUUGGAUCUCUGCCAGCGAACUAUUCAUUCCUGCAGCUACAGACCGAGCUUCUCUCUGGAAGUGAACUUGUUGGUUGCAGCGGCUCUCCACACUAAGUGCGAAGCUAACCACUGUUUGCUUUGUGGAAAUCCCUUCGGCGUGAGCAGAGCAGGAUGGGACGGACGGCUCGCACAGUGUCCCGUGUAGAGGCUGUAUGUUUCCUGUAUGAAAGAGCCGGUGGGACAGAAAGCGCGUGCUGCACCACAGAAGGGGGUUAAAAUCAGUUUAACAAAGCUAAAGAAUAAUCACCCGUUAUGCUUGUUGGAGUGGUAGAGACAGAGAUAGGAAUCCAAUCUUAAACAUGAACGCGAGUGAGCAAGUGAACCUAGAAGGGGAAACAGUAACGGGGACAUGGUGUAAACAGUCAGCUGAAAUAGUUGGUUUAAAGUAGCCGUUAUUAUUUAACUCUUUGGAAACAAACAAGCCAGAACCAGGUCAGAACCAAUACGUUAAUAUUGAUAUAUUUUAGUAACAUAUUAACUAAUUGUUACAGAUUAUUGCACUUAGGGUUCCCCUUUACCCCCACAAACACACAUUGUACAAAUAGACAAAGUCGUUCCAGAGUUAAUACUUUUUAUUAUGGGUAUGAAGCCAAAAAACUAACUUUAGAUAUCUAGCUAAUAGCAAUAGCUUACCUGUUAACUAUUAUUUUAAUAAAAUUAAAUGAGAAAAUGUAAUUAUUUAGUAUUCGAUUCACACGAGUAAUCAAAAAUCAGCCUAAAACCUGAAAAUGUUAUGAAAAACAAAAACAAUGUUGUAUGACAAUUAAAAUACUCAGAACAUGAGGAAGGUUUUCUUGAGCUCAUGUGAUGUGUGGAUACAUCAGACAGGUCUAGAGGUUGUUUUUCUCUCUGCCCCAUGGUCCGGGGGGUGAAGGGGGGGGGUCUCUUCCCCCCAUCAGGAUUCGACCCGACAACCUGCCGGCCUAAAUUGAAAGCCCGGGUUUGGGGCCCCGGCCUCAUAUCAUCUGGUUCCCAUUCUCCCUGCCUCGUCCACUGAAAUUUGACCGGCGUUGGAGGAGGACUGAAUUAUGGGCCCAUCAAUAAAUACCAUAUUUCCCCCCUUUGAAGUUGCGUACGUGAUGGAAAGUGGUGCGUCGUCAUGUGUUAAAGUUAUUACUGAUCUACUGUGCGCUGUGUUGCUGACGUUGGAAGGCCGCUGUGGCUUCAUCUCUUCCGACAGCCGCCAGACUGAACGCCUUAGUUCACUUCGGCCCCGCCGUCAGAACCGCUUUCCAUCUCCCUUUGACUUUGCGUGACCCCCGUGGCGGUAACGUCUGGCAGGAGGAGGAAGAGGAGCGUGCGCGUUACAGGGAGAAGAUUGGCUCUGCGUGUUUCGUGACUAUGGAUCAUUUUACCAGCUGUUGAAUAGUCGGCUCUUGAGUCAUUUUGGAGGUGCCCAUAAAGCUUGUGUGUAAUCUUCCUGCCUCCCACUCUUUAAUUGUGCCUCUCACGGAACAAGUUCCCUUUGUUAAGAGGAGAUAGCCUAAGGUCCCUCCGAUCCAACCAGCAAAAAGCACAAGACACGAGGAAGAAUGUGUCCUUGCUUGUGCCGUGUAAUCAAUUAUUCUUUAGCUUGGUUUGUAAAGGAAAGAUGGGAAAAGGCAACAUUUAUAAUGCAUGUCUGAAACCAGAUUUGAAUUAUUUGUAAUAAGGAAAGCUUGGCUUGAAAGAAUCUCUACAACAUGUGCUGCAUGUUGUGUCGAGAGAGUGAUGAUUCUGAUCCCGACCGGCAACUGACAUCAAAAAGGAGAAUAAGGAAGCUCAUGUGUUGAAGUUUAGUGCUUCCCAACUCAAGCAAACACCAUUUUAUGUUUUAUGUAAUCUUUUAAAAUCGCAUAUUGACACCUUUCCAGUUUUGGGAGAAAAGUGCAUUAAAAAAUGGGCAGCAACUGAGUUAGAUAUCAUACGACUCUUGUGAUGUGUGUGACGACGAGCAAUCGCCCUCCAUGGUGAUGUGCAUGAAACAGCCAUUUUAUUUUCGCUUGUGGCAAUAGUCUAAUACGAUUGUUAUAUAUAUAUAAUAACAGAAAAUGCCUGCGAGUACCUUUUGUCUAUUAUCGGUGGAGGAGGGCGACCUGGCUGUUAUCGGCACAUGCUCGAUGUCAAUGAAGAUCUCAAGUGAAGGAGCCGCCCUCUAACAGCUGCCUGCACGGGUAAUGAGCCGAGGGUUGACAAAUACAAACAUCCACCAGGAAGCCUCACGCGAGCACAGACGGAAGCAAGAGGGGAGCUUGAUUGUGAGAAAAAAGGGAGAUGAGUUAAUCCAACAUCUGCGUGACCUGCGUUCAAAGUAAAAGACUUUGAUUCCUUUAUCAGGUCUGUUUCGACUUUGGACGCGCUGGGAAUGGACGUGCCGUGCAACUCGGUGUUCAAUGGAGGGGAAGCGGAGGAGGAGAUCCAGAGACAGAUAACGUCCAGCCGCAUGCCGUGAGUGACUGAGAGCCUGCAGGGGCUUUCCUGUUGUGACCCCGCAGGCCGGAGCUGCUGCUGCCGCCGCAGAAAGAUCCGUCUGUUGGGAGGAACCAACGAUCCAUCACAGCUGAAGACCACAAGACGACCUUUGACAGGCGCAGACCCCUCAGCCGUCGGCGGCGCAGCCCGCAGGCCCGUCCGCCCCCGGGAUCAUUCCACCUUCACCAGCAAAGGUCGCAGUUUGAAUUUGAGGCCUCCUCGCUACAUUGAGCGCCUUGUCUUUCACACAGAGGGAGAGUUGGUUGUCACACGGCCGUUUGACUGAUGACCUGUCAAUCGUUUUGGUAAAAAUCACUGUGAUCCUCCUCUGUUCCUGCCUUGACUUCAACAUCGGCGACCAGAAACACUGGUGCUCAUUUACUCUGCUCGGUUUAUUGCAGUGCACUUUAGUGCCGUUUGUUUUCUCUGGUGCGUUGUCGUGCUCUUGUCUUGUGAAGGAAGCAGGAACCACUGAAUGACUGUACUUGGCGUCUGUAAAAGGUUCCGCUCUAACGCUCUUGGUUCCCGAAAUGUCUGCGACGGGGAAAAAAAGUGUGAAUAUUUAGCAGAAGUCGUGUUUUGGGAACAUGACUCCCUCCCUCCAUUCCUUCCGCCUCAAUUAUCGGCCCC